rnacentral:lncRNA from 1 species
UAAAAUUGAGCAUGGAGUGUUCGAACAGUGAUAUCCUUGCAAAUGCAUCAGUCGGAAUGAGAGUACGCCUGCACAUGAUGAGAACUGUUUCGCAUGGUAAGCAACAGCUCGCUCCUCUUCUGUUAACUUCAUCAUGAGAUGCACACACAAGAGUGGUGUCACCAUCACGGUGGGUAGUUCACAGAUCUGAAUCAAAAAAAAAAA